rnacentral:lncRNA from 1 species
UUCUGUAUCAUCUACUCUGCUCUUGAGUCCCUCUAGUGAAUUUUUCAUUUCCAGUAUUGUAUUCUUCAUUUCUGAUUGGUUCUUUUUUAUAUUUUCCAGUUCUUUGUUGAUGAGCUCACUGUGUUCAUCCAGUCUUCUCCCAAUAUCUGUGAGCAUCCUUAUGAGAUUUUGUUUGAACACUUUGGUCACUAUUUCUGUUUCAUUUAGUCCUUUUUCUGGAGUUUUGUCCUGUUCCCUUGCCUGGAAUGUAUUCCUUUGUCUCCUCACUAUGCCUCUGUCUCUGUGCUUAUUUCUAUGCAUUAGGUGAAUCGGCUAUGUCACCUGACCUUGGAGAAGUGGCCUUAUGUAAGAGAUGCCUCUUAAGGCCCAGCAGUGUGCUUUCCUCUUGUCACCAGUCCAAAUGAUCCAGGAGUGACCCCUUUGUGGGCUACUUGUGUCCUUCUGCUGUAGCAGGGUUGCUCUUAAUGCAGUUACCCACUGAGUCUAGUCUUUCCUUCCCUGGCCAGCUGUUUGUAAAUCCGUCUUGGGGACCCUCAGCACCAUUGGUUACAAGGUCUAACAGCACACUCCUGUUGCAAUUUUCCUGUUAAUUGGGUAGGUACCCAGUGUAGCUGAUUGCUAGGCUCAGGAGCUUACAGUUGCUAUAGGCCUUGGGCCUACAAGGCUGUUGUCAGUUCUCUUAGGAGUGCAGCUGAGAGAGGCUGGCCCUAGGCAUGGGAACACUCAAUUGUUUCAGGCUUUGGAAGGUUGGGUUGAUCCUUUUUAUGGCUAUUUGUGAAGCACAGGUCUUUUGCCACUGAUAAGCUUCACCCUCCACAGGACCACACACACUGUCAACACAGUCCUGGUCCAUACACACUUCCCAACCCCCUGGAGUGUACCCCGAUGCCCCACUGCAGAGGCCCCGACCUCUCCACCAGUACCCCCCACAGUUCACCUGGGCCAGUCCCUAGGGCGGGUUGCCUGCCCUGGCUGAACUGGGUUAAAUCUGUGCUCUAGUGGGCAUGGCAGACCACUAGGCUAACAGGCCUGGGGAAGAACCUCAAUGAUGUAUGCUGGGGUCUGUGUCAGCACACAUAGACCAGGUCAAAACAAUGGCCCCCACCAAUGUCUCAGUCUCUGAAGAGUUCUCUCCCCUCACCAAGAUGCCCCCAAAGCCCACCAGGUGAGUCUCUGUUCACUAAAAGACUGUCAGCCUUCUCUCUGGUAAUUUUAAGUUGCUGAGAUGGGUGAGUUUGUGCGUGGGCCCUUAAAGACCGGGGUCUUUUCAGCUUUCGUCCUAUAGCUUUUCUGGGGGUAUUCCCCACUACAGUUAAUAGCCAGCCAAGCCAGAUAGUAAGACCCUCGUCUCGGUUGUGCUGAGUCUGAAGGAUGCUUAUAGCAGUAUCGCCCCUGCUUUGGACCUCACUCCUCCAGGGAGGGCUGUGUACCUUAGGGUAGUUCCUGCCUGGUCAGCUGAGAAACUCUGCUGCUCCCGAAGGUGGGUUUUUUUCUCUCCAGCAGGAAUUUCUGCCUCUUCCGCCUUAGUCAGGACUGUUCCUUGUUGUGGGGAUUCUUUUUAUCCAGUUUUCAGUUUUCUCUCCAGAGUAAUUUUUCCCAAAAUAGUUGUAACAUGGUUGUGUUUGUGGGAGGAGAUGAGUUCAGAAUCUGCCUACACCCCCAUCUUGAUGAUAUCUCCCCUGUAUUCUUUUUCUUGAAGAGGGUUCCCAAGAUUGAAUAAGGUUCAGAACCUACAAAACCUGCAUCUGCCCCUAAGGAGAGAGACAUAUAUAGACAAGGAAAACUGAAGAUGCAAGAGGGGAAAUAAGGCAUAGAACUAAGUCCUGGAAGUGGACAGAAAGGAUGGGUGAAGAAUUUACUCAAUCAAAGGGAAUCUCCCCUCCACAGAGGAUGGGGGUAGAGGAGAGAAUAGGAGAAGACACCAAGAAAUGUUGCGUUAGAGUGGAAGAUUGUUAAGAGACCUCAUACUGAGUGAAUGACCUUGAUUUCAGCAAGGGUGAGGAUGGGCAAGACAGAUGGACAAGGGAGUGCUGACAAAAAUUGGUUGAAAACUCUGACCGUGGAGUCCCACCUGGACAUGCAUGAAGGACCGUGAGUAUAAGAUGGGGUCGAGAGUCUGAAAGUCUCCAGGAAGUCAGAGCAAGUUAUGUAUGAAAGAACGAGUGGGAGAGAUCACAAAAUGUACAGAAGAAUUUCGAACUUCAAGAACUUGAAUGUAGAAUAAUUCCCCGUGAUAGCAUAUUCCAUGCUAUUCUGUUCCAGUGUAUUCUGUAGGGCUGCUCUCAAAUGCCAUCUCUUUUAUUAAGCCUUCCCUAGUCACCUAAAUUUAAUUUUUCCUCUCCUUUUCUUCAAUUUCCUGGUAACUUGUCUGUUCCGACACUUACUGCGUUAGUUUUGUCUUUUUUGUGACUAGGUGGUUUCAUAUUUGUUUUCUCUGCUAGGUUAUAAAUGUCCUGUCUUAAUCAUCUUCAUAUAACACAUAGCCCAAUCCUUGGGACAUAGAAAGCACCCAAUAAGUGAUCAUUGAAUGAACAUAGCCUACUGGAGAUGAAAGCAAUGUAAUGUCCUCAGUUAAAGAGACUGCAAGUAAAU